UACGUAGGUGGCAAGCGUUGUCCGGAUUUACUGGGCGUAAAGAGCGCGCAGGCGGUCGUUCAAGUCGCGUGUGAAAGCCCCCGGCUCAACUGGGGAGGGUCACGCGAUACUGACGUCGACUCGAAGGCAGGAGAGGGAAGUGGAAUUCCCGGUGUAGUGGUGAAAUGCGUAGAUAUCGGGAGGAACACCAGUGGCGAAGGCGACUUCCUGGCCUGUUCUUGACGCUGAGGCGCGAAAGCUAGGGGAGCAAACGGG
rnacentral:rRNA from 1 species